UAUUUAUUUUUAUUUAUUUUUGUUUGUUUAUUUAAUUUUAAACCAAGGGUAUUAGAGAUAUUUUACCCUUUAAUGAAUGUCAUUUUUGUGACUUUUUCCUUCUAGUGCUAUUUUUGAGACAUAAACUUCAAAAGGUGCUAUUAUUGACAAUUGCCCUAAAAUGUUUGAUGUUUUUGGUUUUUUUUUUUCUGUGAUAAUCAAAUAUUACUAUUAUUUGUUUGUUUUCAUGUUAUGAAUCUUAGAUAGUCGUGAUGUCGAACCAAUGGUUUCAUAUUAUUGUUUCUAAACGGAUAAUAGUAAAAAAAAAAAAAUUUAUCCAGACAAAUCAUUUUACUACAAUUUGUUCGAUAGUGAAAGAAGCAUUAAGAAAAAAAAAGAAUA
rnacentral:lncRNA from 1 species